AGCAGCCGCGGUAAUUCCAGCUCCAAUAGCGUAUAUUAAAGUUGUUGCAGUUAAAAAGCUCGUAGUUGAAUUUCGGGAUCAAGGAAUCGGUCAUGCCUCGGUAUGUACUGGUUUUAUUGGUUCUCACCUUCUAAAGAACCAUGAUGUCAUUCAUUUGAUGUUAUGGGGAAUUAGGACUGUUACCUUGAAAAAUUAGAGUGUUUAAAGCAGGCUUACGCUUGAAUACAUUAGCAUGGAAUAAUGAAAUAGGACAUCAGAUUCUAUUUUGUUGGUUUCUAGGAUCGAUGUAAUGAUUAAUAGGGAUAGUUGGGGGCAUUAGUAUUCAAUUGUCAGAGGUGAAAUUCUUGGAUUUAUUGAAGACUAACUACUGCGAAAGCAUUUGCCAAGGAUGUUUUCAUUAAUCAAGAACGAAAGUUAGGGGAUCGAAGACGAUCAGAUACCGUCGUAGUCUUAACCAUAAACUAUGCCGACUAGGGAUCGGAUGAUGUUUAUUUUUAGUGAUCAUUCGGUACCCG
rnacentral:rRNA from 1 species